ACCAUAGAGAUAUUAAAAUAAUAGAGUACUGAUUUGGAGGAAAAAGUGAGAUUAUUCAGCUGUCGAGGAAAAAAAAUAUUGCGCCCAAAACAAACAAGUCGUUAGUACUUCUCCAAUACUAUUACUUUAGUUAUAGGAACAUUGUUAUUUAAAAUUCAUUUAUCAUCCUUUCUGGAUUUUAAUACUCGUUGUUGGUUUACAAUGCCUACUUGCGUGGCUUAUAAUUGCACCUCCAGAACGGUAACCUUCUCUCAGUCCUUCAGGGCUAAGAAUUAUGAGGGUCAGCAUUAUUCUCAGCAUGCUGAGAAUGAUAAUAAUCCUUAUGACCAUGAUCUCAAGACAAAAAUAUCCUGAUGAAUUGAGAAAAUUUGUUCUAACUUAGAGGUAUGCCUAUGUUCGCAAGACAUUUAAUAUGUUUUUGCCACACCCUUCAAUUAUUAGAAGCUGGUACGGAACAAUCGAUGGAUCUCCAAGAUUUACGGUGGAAGCAUUUAAAGCCUUGAAACUUCGAGUGGAACAGCAAAGAGUCGCGGGAGGCAAGGUUUAUUGCAACCUAACGCUCGACGAAAUGCCAUAACUAUGUGGACGUUGGAGCAGGAGAUUCAGAAGAUUCCAUGCCUCCCGCCACUGAAGCCUUGGUACUUAUGGUGGUUGCUAUUAAUAGGAAUUGGAAAAUUCCCAUAGGAAAUUUUAUGAUCAAUGGAUUGUCGGGGGAAGAAUAGGCGAAUAUAGUACAAACAGCUUUAAUUAAAGUCCAUGAAGUUGGUGUGAUAAUACCGAGUAUUACUUGUGAUGGGCCCUCAUGUAAUUUUGGAAUGUUUAAAGCUCUUGGAGCUGCCCUUCAUUCAGGCAAUAUAAAACCUACAUUUGCCCACCCUUCAAACUCUGACAUAAAAGUUGUUGUUUUACUUGACGUCUGCCAUAUGCUGAAGCUUGUAAGGAACUCUUUUGUAUCGAUUGGGAGCUCCGAAAUCAUAAGGGAGAUACUAUUUGUUGGAAUUUUAUAGAAGAAUUGUACUCAAUACAAGAAAAAGAAGGUCUAAGAGCAGGGCCGAAGCUGUAAAAAGCUCACAUGGAAUGGAGAAGGAUGAAGAUGAAAGUAAAUUUGGCGAGUCAAACACAAUCUAGAAGUGUAGCCGAUUCUUUGGAGAUGUUAUCACACGAUCUUAAAUUACAUAAGUUUUCUAAUUGUGAUGCAACAAUAGGGUUCAUCCGUAUAUUCGAUGCUCUAUUUGAUGUAUUUAACUCGCGGAAUGUGUUUUCCAACUCUAACAAAGGGCCCCUAAGUAGAGCUAACUUCGAUUACUGGCGUCCUCUAUUCGAAUCAAGUUUCUAUUAUAUAAGUGAAUUAAAAACAAAUAGUGGGCAAAAGCUUAUUAUGCAAGGAUCAAAUUAUAUCAUUUGGGAAAAAAAGAAAGUGAGAAGAUUCAAGGGAGCCGAGUUCGAAGUAUUCUCACCAAUCUCGUCCAUUUCAAAAAUCAGUAAUUUGUAACAUUGUCAUUAAUAUUUGGAAAGACUAAAUUAUAUUUCAACUUAAUAACUUAAUUAUUAUAGUAAAAUACUCCUUCGAAUUAUGUUGAUUACUUUUCUACGAAAUAUAAGGAAAAAUACUUGCCAAUUUAUACAA
rnacentral:lncRNA from 1 species